CCUACGGGCGGCAGCAGUGGGGAAUAUUGGACAAUGGGGGCAACCCCGAUCCAGCCAUGCCGCGUGUGUGAAGAAGGCCCUCGGGUUGUAAAGCACUUUCAGUGAGGAAGAACGCCUGGUGGUUAAUACCCAUCAGGAAAGACAUCACUCACAGAAGAAGCACCGGCUAACUCCGUGCCAGCAGCCGCGGUAAUACGGAGGGUGCGAGCGUUAAUCGGAAUUACUGGGCGUAAAGCGCGCGUAGGUGGCUUGAUAAGCCGGUUGUGAAAGCCCCGGGCUCAACCUGGGAACGGCAUCCGGAACUGUCAAGCUAGAGUGCAGGAGAGGAAGGUAGAAUUCCCGGUGUAGCGGUGAAAUGCGUAGAGAUCGGGAGGAAUACCAGUGGCGAAGGCGGCCUUCUGGACUGACACUGACACUGAGGUGCGAAAGCGUGGGUAGCAAACAGGAUUAGAUACCCUAGUAGUC
rnacentral:rRNA from 1 species